UUUCAUAAACAAUGUUAAACCCGAAGUACAGUGGCGCGCACAAACUCGGAAUUUUCCCGCGCAAACGUCCUCGCACUUCCUCCAGUACCAGCAUAAGGGCGCCUGAGGCGUGCUUCCAAUCUGACGAAGAGCACUCUUCUGAGAAGAAAGUGAUGCAGAGCACUGAACAACUGAUACAAACAGGACAGUUACAGAACCACAGGUACCACCUUGCCAUGACUGCUGAAAUUAAAAUUUGAACAGCUGGUUGCCAGUCUGCAGUGGCAGCUCCUCCUCCUCCUGCGGUCUGUAGUACAGGUCUCCUCUGAGACCCAGGCUCAUCCUGGCUUCAGUCACACCUCAGUUAGCAGCUCUAGUCUGCACAGGGAGGAGGACACCUCAAUGGCUUCAGAGGAAACCUAUGUCUUGGCUCCAGAUUGGUUCCAGCACUUGAGUUGUUCCUACUGGUUGUUCUAUACUGGUAAGAUAUGAAAUAUAUGGUAUUAACUGUAUUCCAACUGUUCAUUUUCAUCAUAAGGUGUGUGACUGCUGACAGACUCAUUCUUGACAUGGCCCAGUGUUGGACUCCAAGGUGCCCUGUAGCAUCUGGUGAGGUGGACUGGAAGAAAGGGGCUCCAUUCCACACUUGCUGAAGAUCCCUUACACACACAGAAGACACAUUUAGACUUGUUCAGGACAGAACCAA
rnacentral:lncRNA from 1 species